UACGGGGGGGGCAAGCGUUGUUCGGAAUUACUGGGCGUAAAGGGCUCGUAGGCGGCCAACUAAGUCCGACGUGAAAUCCCCAGGCUUAACCUGGGAACUGCGUCGGAUACUGGAUGGCUUGAAUCCGGGAGAGGGAUGCGGAAUUCCCGGUGUAGCGGUGAAAUGCGCAGAUAUCAGGAGGAACACCGGUGGCGAAGGCGGGUCUCUGGGCCGAUACUGACGCUGAGGAGCGAAAGCAUGGGUAGCGAACAGG
rnacentral:rRNA from 1 species